CAGGGCUUGUGAUCUGCCAGUGACCCCUAAGGAGGGUACAAGCUCUAGAACCGAGUAAGCAAAGUAUUUUUACAGCUUAACUUUGGGGUGUCCCAUAGCUAGCAAGGAGCAGGUUUUUGUUUCUUUUUCUGACGAGAAAAUAAAAAUCUGGUGGGGGAAAUGUCGCAUGCUUGGGGUAAGAAUAGCAUGCUGUGUAGUUUCAGCAUGGAAAUGAAAGAAUUAUUAAUCUGAAUAUUGUUUGUCGCUUUAAAAGAACUAAUGUUUGUCUUUCAGGUGGCUGAGGCAAACAUAUCCAGUUGGAGGAUUUCCCUUCAACAAUACUGCCUUGGAACAGAGAAGAAUGUAGUUAAAAGGGAUCUGUAUAGCUAGGGGUCAAAAACAUGAUCUGAAAAAAGUGCAUAGUUCUGAAAUGAGCUUCUAUACCUAAUGGGAAAAGUUAAAGUAUCGAAACUGUUUAUCUUGUUAUCUCUCAGGUUUUUGGCUACAUGCCCUAAUAUUCCUUGAACAGCUGCUAAAUUAGAGUUGUGCCUUCUUCCCAUCUGUGAAUUCUGACAGAUACAGGUUCAGGUUUUGAACAUUGGCAGCAAAGUCAGGAUAGAGUGAUGCACAAUUCAGUCUCUCUUGGAAUUAAUUUUAAGACUGAAGAUUUUAUUUUUGCAACCAUGUUGAAAAGAACAACAAAAAAGAUGUAAUACACGGCAGCAUGGGUAAGAAGCCAAAUUUUAAUACCUGGCCUCAGAGUAAGAUUACUGAAGCUAUCUGUUGCACAGCAAGGGGCAACCUUGUUACACAUUGGGAUAUAUUCAGCUUCUGUCUGUUACUUCAAAAUAACACUCUCCUGCGUGAGUGUUCAGUGAGGUUGCUCGUUGUAAAUCAAACCUCUAAAGAUGAGGAAAUUGCGCUAGGUGGGUAGUGAAUAAACGAGCUCACUUUUGCUAGCUGUAGGGUAUUGUUAAGUAUGAGCUAUUCUCAUUUAAACUCAGCUAACUUUAUUUAAAGUACCUUCUGUUCAUUUACUCUAAAGCUGUAUCCCCAGACUCAUUAGGAGUUUAAUGAGGUAGAAAUCCAUUUAAAGUGAGGGUUUUUCCAUAUAUGUGUUAUCAAUAUAAAUUGAUUGCUAAGGAAAAUCGAUUAUACUACAGUCUGAGCAAGUUAUGUAAGCAGAUUAUAAAAGGAUAUUAAUAUACAAGGAUAUUGAUUGUUCUUUGUUGUGCUACCAUUAUUUUUGCCAGGAUUUGAUGGAGAAAGUUUAUUUGUGCAAGUUUCAACACAAAUGCCUAUGAAACAGUGUACAGCAAAAUUAGUAUGACACCACUGUUUAUUUAUAGAUUCUUGGUGUAAUUAUGUCAUAUUUUCCUUGGGAAGUCAAGUUAAUUUUGUAGUAUUGUAUUGCAUCUUGCAUUUGUUGGAUCUUAUUGGGCCAUAGGUAGGUUAAGGGCCUCUCUGUAUGCCACAGAAUGAGAGUAAAUUUGUUGGUUAAGUUUUAGAUGAGAGUUUGGAUUUGACGGUGGUUUUCGUAUAGAAACAAACCUCCUGACUUCUAAAGAAUAUAUCAAUACAUAUGGAUAUACGUAUCAUCCAUCCAUACAGACAUUUCUGGCUACUUUCACAUCAGUUCUCCUUCAGAAGGGCAGAUGGCAGUAUGAACCAAUUGUCACAAAUUCCAGUGGACUUGUGUUUUUUCCUUACCCUUUGUGUGAAUGGUCAUGCAUAUUUCAUGUACAUUUAAUGUAAUGAAUCCUUUUGUGAAGAGGGGGGUGGGUGUUGGGAGCUCUGCCUCUGUGGGUACUUGGCUUUCUCCCAUUUAUCAGAGGAUGAAAUGCUAGAGAUAUUUUAGUACCAAAAUGAUUCCAAGUUUGGCAUUGCAUACAGUUUGGCAGGGGCGGCAGUUGACUGGAACUUUGAAGGGACAGGAUGCAUUUCAGGUGUUUCUCUGUGGUGUCUGAAACCACGACCAAAGGUCUGUCAAGCAGCUACCACAUCAUCAGAGUGCCCCCUAGGCAGUGUCAUCUGUUUUGAAGAGAAACUACAGAAAGCUGUGGUGGCAUUUGGAUAGCAAAGGUAAACUUAGGUUGCUGGUAAGGGUUGGAUCUUGGUAGAACUACCUCCUGUGUGACAGGCAUAGCUGAAAGGCUGCAGAGUGUCAAAAGAAGAUUUAGAUUUAAGUGUUUUACUUCCUCCAUUGUCCAUUGGGGAACUCUCUCUUCCCACACAGAGAUUUAAAAAAAAAAUAAUACAAGUAGCAGAAGUAGCAGGGCACAAUAAUGAAAGAAAGAGUACUUAGUUAAAUCACUUAGAAACAUUUAGUAAAGAAUCACGGGUGGGUGUCCCUCCUGCUGUGAAGGGUGAGACAGAACUGAUGGACCCUGCUGUGCCAGUUAGUAGAGGUUGCUGUUAAAAGAUUCUCAUUAUCAGAGGUGGCCCAGAAAGUAGAAUUUCCAGCAAUGAAUUGCAAAUUUCUAUCACGAGAGAAAAAUCCACAAAAUACUUUGUAAACUGGGAUUAAUGUUUAAAUAAAAUACAUCUUUAAUUUAGCCAUGCUGAAAUGACAGAUCAAAUCCUCAAAGAAAGAAAAAAAGAUGUUAUGUAUCUUUAGUCUAAGAUGUUAAAACUGCCAAAAGGACAGCUCAGAACAGCAGCGUGUUUUGGUUUUGAAGCAAUGGUUACAAUCUUACAUCCCAAACUGAGUCAAGUCCUUUGCUUUCUGUUGGGUGAUCCCUUCUCCUUUUGCUCCCAGUUCACUUAUUUUUGCUUCUGUUUUUGUGCUGCUUAGCCUGUUCAUGCUAUCUGUGAUGACCUAUCUGGCUCUUUAUAUCUGGUGAUUCCUUUUUUUUUUUCCUGUACCCUGUUUCUCAGUCUAGUUCAAGGCCCAGUUAAGCUUUCUUCUUUCUACAGCAUCGGAAUUUCUAGCUGAAAUGCUGAUGAGCUGGAAGAGAGGAGAUAUUGCUGAACAGCAAUGUGGGUGCAGAGAGUAUUAGGUGGUGGUGUUAGGCUCAUUUUAUUGUCUAAGUAGCUGUUGCGGUUUAACCCAGCAGGCAGUGAAACAUCACACAGCUGUUUGUUUACCUGCCCCCACUAGUGGGAUAGUGAAGAGAAUGGUGGGGGUGGGUAAAAUUUGUCAGUUGUGAUAAAGACAGUUUAAUAGGGCAGAAAAGGAAAAGAAAAUAAUAAAGGUAAAAAUAUAUGAAACAAGUGCUGCGCAGUGCGGUUGCUCAUCACCUGCUGACCAAUGCCCCAGCCAGUUUCUGAGCAGAGGUCCCCCUGGCUGACUCCCCCAGCUUAUAUUCUGACCGUGAUGCCAUAUGGUAUGGAAUAUCCCUUUGGCCAGUUUGGGUCAGCUGUCCUGGCUGUGACCCCUCACAGCUCCUUGUGCACCUGGCAGAGCAUGGGGAGCUGAGAAGUCCUUGACUGGUGUAAGCGCUAUGUAGCAACAACUAGAACAUCAGUGUGGUAACAUUAUUCUCAUCAUAAAUCCAAAACACAGCACUAUACCAGCUACUAGGAAGAAAAUUAACUUCAUCUCAGCUGAUCCAGGACAGUAGUAGACACAUCACAGUGAUUGCAUUUAGUUCUGACUUUUCUCUUAUCCAAAGCGCUGUCCAGACAUGAAGGUCAGGUGUAUGCCUGCCUCCCAACCACCUUCCUUCCUCCAGAGAUCUUUAAAUAAGGGAAGUGGAGAGAGGGCAUAAAGCAUUUCCCUAGUGCAAGUUAAGCAGCAGAAAUGAGAUGGAAUAGCAGUCCUGUCACUCAAAGACUGCAAGUAUUGUACAAUGCCUGUGUAAAGCUAUUGGAAAUAGUUCUUCCAGAGAAGGGGUGUGUGUGAAGACUAUUACCACCUUUGCUUUCCAAACAGACCCCAGAUCUGCCUAGCCUUCAAAGGAAGCACUGCAGAAUUCUGGAGGAGAUGACUGAGAGGAAGAGACGGCACUGUGAUUUUUAUCUUUCCAGUUUGCACUGUAGCUCAGAGGAAGGUCAUGACUCCUUCAGCCCCAGUUUUGUAACUUCAGAGUUGGUACCUCUUUAACUCUUCCAUCAAAGCCAAUUUACUAUCCCCACGAAUGUCAGAAUUGUUUCCAGUGAAGGCUGGUAUUUCUUUUGUGGAAGAGCAAUCCUGUGAUUUGAGCAGUCGAUUUUAUGCGUGUUUAAAGUACACAGCAAAAAUUAAAUACACUAUUAAAAAAAGAUUAGUGUUUUGUUUAGUCCUUCACACAAUUACAAAACAGACACUGAAAUGUGUUAAAUUAGAGUAAUCAAAAGUUAAUUAAAUUUCUGAACAAAAUAACAGAUUUGGUGUGAAGGCUGUGUCAGGUACAAUUACAGCUUUUCUAAGUGAGAAGCAGAAAUCUGACUCUAUUGGAAAAAAGGUAGCCAGACAAAGACACAAUCUGCUUGCUUACCAUGACUGUCUAAAGGAAAUAAGAACACUAUUAAUCAAAGUUUCUUUCUCUACAGGUGUCAGUCAUGUUCAUUUGCCUGUGACAUUUAAAGACUGUAUUUUUUCCCUGCUUGGGUGUCUCUGGCACCAAACUGUUGUCUGUGUGAGUGACAGAUGUUAAAAUUAAACGGGCUUCUGUGUCCUGUUCAAAUGAAAUGAACAGAGCAGUGGGAGUAGCCUACCUACAGUAUAUACCAUAGGGUCUCAUUGUAACACCUUGUACUGGUUAGAAGCAAGACAAUUUUUCUUUUUUCCACAGAACGAGCUACUGUCCUGAACCUUUCCUGUGUAGAGCCAACCUUGAGUUUCAACACAACACACUCAGAUCUGGAAUUCAGAGGGAGGUUGUACAGAGCCACCAAACUGACUCCAGGAGUCCCUCAAAGGUAUUGCUGCAUCACUUUGCCCCAUAAACACUUUUGCAAUGGCAAUUAGUACUACAGAGGCGUGGUUUUGUUUCAUUCUUUUCAUUCUCAGUGAGAAACUUUGAUGGUAAUGUGAGGACUUUGUUAUAGACAAAAAAUGCCUCAGUAUCUUCUAGGAGCCAGAACUUGAGUUUCUGUGUUUUCAAUAGAUGCCAUAUGUAAAAUUAUCAGAGUAUUGGCAUAAAGCCUUGUGUUAUUAUUUAAAAUGUA